rnacentral:rRNA from 1 species
GAUGAACGCUGGCGGCGUGCCUAAUACAUGCAAGUCGAGCGAAUGGAUUAAGAGCUUGCUCUUAUGAAGUUAGCGGCGGACGGGUGAGUAACACGUGGGUAACCUGCCCAUAAGACUGGGAUAACUCCGGGAAACCGGGGCUAAUACCGGAUAACAUUUUGAACCGCAUGGUUCGAAAUUGAAAGGCGUCUUCGGCUGUCACUUAGGGAUGGACCCGCGUCGCAUUAGCUAGCUGGUGAGGUAACGGCUCACCAAGGCAACGAUGCGUAGCCGACCUGAGAGGGUGAUCGGCCACACUGGGACUGAGACACGGCCCAGACUCCUACGGGAGGCAGCAGUAGGGAAUCUUCCGCAAUGGACGAAAGUCUGACGGAGCAACGCCGCGUGAGUGAUGAAGGCUUUCGGGUCGUAAAACUCUGUUGUUAGGGAAGAACAAGUGCUAGUUGAAUAAGCUGGCACCUUGACGGUACCUAACUAGAAAGCCACGGCUAACUACGUGCCAGCAGCCGCGGUAA